AGCGAACGCUGGCGGCAGGCCUAACACAUGCAAGUCGAGCGCCGUAGCAAUACGGAGCGGCAGACGGGAGAGUAACACGUGGGAACGUGCCCUUCAGUUCGGAACAACCCAGGGAAACUUGGGCUAAUACCGGAUACGUCCGUAAGGAGAAAGAUUUAUCGCUGAAGGAGCGGCCCGCGUCUGAUUAGCUAGUUGGUGGGGUAACGGCCCACCAAGGCGAUGAUCAGUAGCUGGUCUGAGAGGACGAUCAGCCUCACUGGGACUGAGGCACGGCCCAGACUCCUACGGGAGGCAGCAGUGGGGAAUAUUGGACAAUGGGCGCAAGCCUGAUCCAGCCAUGCCGCGUGGGUGAUGAAGGCCCUAGGGUUGUAAAGCCCUUUCGGCGGGGAAGAUAAUGACGGUACCCGCAGAAGAAGCCCCGGCUAACUUCGUGCCAGCCGCCACGGUAAUAC
rnacentral:rRNA from 1 species